GGGGAUGUGGCUCAGUGGUAGAGUAUGUGCUUAGCAUGUGAGGCCCUGGGUUCCAUCCCCAGCACCAUCA
rfam:Ictidomys tridecemlineatus contig033076, whole genome shotgun sequence.